GGGUUGUGAGGUUAAGCGACUAAGCGUACACGGUGGAUGCCCUGGCAGUCAGAGGCGAUGAAGGACGUGCUAAUCUGCGAUAAGCGUCGGUAAGGUGAUAUGAACCGUUAUAACCGGCGAUUUCCGAAUGGGGAAACCCAGUGUGUUUCGACACACUAUCAUUAACUGAAUCCAUAGGUUAAUGAGGCGAACCGGGGGAACUGAAACAUCUAAGUACCCCGAGGAAAAGAAAUCAACCGAGAUUCCCCCAGUAGCGGCGAGCGAACGGGGAGGAGCCCAGAGCCUGAAUCAGUGUGUGUGUUAGUGGAAGCGUCUGGAAAGGCGCGCGAUACAGGGUGACAGCCCCGUACACAAAAAUGCACAUGCUGUGAGCUCGAUGAGUAGGGCGGGACACGUGGUAUCCUGUCUGAAUAUGGGGGGACCAUCCUCCAAGGCUAAAUACUCCUGACUGACCGAUAGUGAACCAGUACCGUGAGGGAAAGGCGAAAAGAACCCCGGCGAGGGGAGUGAAAAAGAACCUGAAACCGUGUACGUACAAGCAGUGGGAGCACGCUUAGGCGUGUGACUGCGUACCUUUUGUAUAAUGGGUCAGCGACUUAUAUUCUGUAGCAAGGUUAACCGAAUAGGGGAGCCGAAGGGAAACCGAGUCUUAACUGGGCGUUAAGUUGCAGGGUAUAGACCCGAAACCCGGUGAUCUAGCCAUGGGCAGGUUGAAGGUUGGGUAACACUAACUGGAGGACCGAACCGACUAAUGUUGAAAAAUUAGCGGAUGACUUGUGGCUGGGGGUGAAAGGCCAAUCAAACCGGGAGAUAGCUGGUUCUCCCCGAAAGCUAUUUAGGUAGCGCCUCGUGAACUCAUCUCCGGGGGUAGAGCACUGUUUCGGCAAGGGGGUCAUCCCGACUUACCAACCCGAUGCAAACUGCGAAUACCGGAGAAUGUUAUCACGGGAGACACACGGCGGGUGCUAACGUCCGUCGUGAAGAGGGAAACAACCCAGACCGCCAGCUAAGGUCCCAAAGUCAUGGUUAAGUGGGAAACGAUGUGGGAAGGCCCAGACAGCCAGGAUGUUGGCUUAGAAGCAGCCAUCAUUUAAAGAAAGCGUAAUAGCUCACUGGUCGAGUCGGCCUGCGCGGAAGAUGUAACGGGGCUAAACCAUGCACCGAAGCUGCGGCAGCGACACUAUGUGUUGUUGGGUAGGGGAGCGUUCUGUAAGCCUGUGAAGGUGUGCUGUGAGGCAUGCUGGAGGUAUCAGAAGUGCGAAUGCUGACAUAAGUAACGAUAAAGCGGGUGAAAAGCCCGCUCGCCGGAAGACCAAGGGUUCCUGUCCAACGUUAAUCGGGGCAGGGUGAGUCGACCCCUAAGGCGAGGCCGAAAGGCGUAGUCGAUGGGAAACAGGUUAAUAUUCCUGUACUUGGUGUUACUGCGAAGGGGGGACGGAGAAGGCUAUGUUGGCCGGGCGACGGUUGUCCCGGUUUAAGCGUGUAGGCUGGUUUUCCAGGCAAAUCCGGAAAAUCAAGGCUGAGGCGUGAUGACGAGGCACUACGGUGCUGAAGCAACAAAUGCCCUGCUUCCAGGAAAAGCCUCUAAGCAUCAGGUAACAUCAAAUCGUACCCCAAACCGACACAGGUGGUCAGGUAGAGAAUACCAAGGCGCUUGAGAGAACUCGGGUGAAGGAACUAGGCAAAAUGGUGCCGUAACUUCGGGAGAAGGCACGCUGAUAUGUAGGUGAAGUCCCUUGCGGAUGGAGCUGAAAUCAGUCGAAGAUACCAGCUGGCUGCAACUGUUUAUUAAAAACACAGCACUGUGCAAACACGAAAGUGGACGUAUACGGUGUGACGCCUGCCCGGUGCCGGAAGGUUAAUUGAUGGGGUCAGCGCAAGCGAAGCUCUUGAUCGAAGCCCCGGUAAACGGCGGCCGUAACUAUAACGGUCCUAAGGUAGCGAAAUUCCUUGUCGGGUAAGUUCCGACCUGCACGAAUGGCGUAAUGAUGGCCAGGCUGUCUCCACCCGAGACUCAGUGAAAUUGAACUCGCUGUGAAGAUGCAGUGUACCCGCGGCAAGACGGAAAGACCCCGUGAACCUUUACUAUAGCUUGACACUGAACAUUGAGCCUUGAUGUGUAGGAUAGGUGGGAGGCUUGGAAGUGUGGACGCCAGUCUGCAUGGAGCCGACCUUGAAAUACCACCCUUUAAUGUUUGAUGUUCUAACGUUGACCCGUAAUCCGGGUUGCGGACAGUGUCUGGUGGGUAGUUUGACUGGGGCGGUCUCCUCCUAAAGAGUAACGGAGGAGCACGAAGGUUGGCUAAUCCUGGUCGGACAUCAGGAGGUUAGUGCAAUGGCAUAAGCCAGCUUGACUGCGAGCGUGACGGCGCGAGCAGGUGCGAAAGCAGGUCAUAGUGAUCCGGUGGUUCUGAAUGGAAGGGCCAUCGCUCAACGGAUAAAAGGUACUCCGGGGAUAACAGGCUGAUACCGCCCAAGAGUUCAUAUCGACGGCGGUGUUUGGCACCUCGAUGUCGGCUCAUCACAUCCUGGGGCUGAAGUAGGUCCCAAGGGUAUGGCUGUUCGCCAUUUAAAGUGGUACGCGAGCUGGGUUUAGAACGUCGUGAGACAGUUCGGUCCCUAUCUGCCGUGGGCGCUGGAGAACUGAGGGGGGCUGCUCCUAGUACGAGAGGACCGGAGUGGACGCAUCACUGGUGUUCGGGUUGUCAUGCCAAUGGCACUGCCCGGUAGCUAAAUGCGGAAGAGAUAAGUGCUGAAAGCAUCUAAGCACGAAACUUGCCCCGAGAUGAGUUCUCCCUGAC
rnacentral:rRNA from 1 species